CCUACGGGCGGCUGCAGUGGGGAAUAUUGGACAAUGGGGGCAACCCUGAUCCAGCCAUGCCGCGUGUGUGAAGAAGGCCCUCGGGUUGUAAAGCACUUUCAGUGAGGAAGAACGCCUGGUGGUUAAUACCCAUCAGGAAAGACAUCACUCACAGAAGAAGCACCGGCUAACUCCGUGCCAGCAGCCGCGGUAAUACGGAGGGUGCGAGCGUUAAUCGGAAUUACUGGGCGUAAAGCGCGCGUAGGUGGCUUGAUAAGCCGGUUGUGAAAGCCCCGGGCUCAACCUGGGAACGGCAUCCGGAACUGUCAAGCUAGAGUGCAGGAGAGGAAGGUAGAAUUCCCGGUGUAGCGGCGAAAUGCGUAGAGAUCGGGAGGAAUACCAGUGGCGAAGGCGGCCUUCUGGACUGACACUGACACUGAGGUGCGAAAGCGUGGGUAGCAAACAGGAUUAGAUACCCGGGUAGUC
rnacentral:rRNA from 1 species